rnacentral:rRNA from 1 species
UACGUAGGGGGCGAGCGUUAUCCGGAAUUAUUGGGUUUAAAGGGUGCGCAGGUUGUUUGAUAAGUCAGUGGUGAAAGUCUGUCGCUUAACGGUAGGAUUGCCAUUGAUACUGUUGGACUUGAAUAUGGAUGAGGUAGGCGGAAUGUGUAGUGUAGCGGUGAAAUGCAUAGAUAUUACACAGAACACCGAUUGCGAAGGCAGCUUACUAAUCCAUCAUUGACGCUGAGGCACGAAAGCGUGGGGAUCAAACAGGAUUA